rnacentral:ncRNA from 1 species
AUUAUAGGGGUGCCCACUUUAUCCGGACCGUGUGCCGGAAAAGGCUGAGAUUAUACCCUUCGAACCUGAUCCGGGUAAUACCGGCGUAGAGAAAUA